rnacentral:tRNA from 1 species
GCCUCCGUAGCAUAGUAGCUAUUGCGUUACCUUGGUAAGGUAAAGGUCGCGAGUGCAAAUCUCGCCGGAGGCU